UGGGGAAUAUUGCACAAUGGGCGAAAGCCUGAUGCAGCGACGCCGCGUGCGGGAUGAAGGCCUUCGGGUUGUAAACCGCUUUUAAUUGGGAGCAAGCGAGAGUGAGUGUACCUUUUGAAUAAGCACCGGCUAACUACGUGCCAGCAGCCGCGGUAAUACGUAGGGUGCAAGCGUUAUCCGGAAUUAUUGGGCGUAAAGAGCUCGUAGGCGGUUUGUCACGCCUGGUGUGAAAGGUCCAUCGCUUAACGGUGGAUCUGCGCCGGGUACGGGCAGGCUAGAGUGCAGUAGGGGAGAUUGGAAUUCCCGGUGUAACGGUGGAAUGUGUAGAUAUCGGGAAGAACACCAAUGGCGAAGGCAGAUCUCUGGGCUGUUACUGACGCUGAGGAGCGAAAGCAUGGGGAGCGAACAGGAUUAGAUACCCGUGGUAGUCCAUGCCGUAAAACGGUGGAUGCUGGAUGUGGGACCCUUCCACGG
rnacentral:rRNA from 1 species